rnacentral:rRNA from 1 species
AGAGUUUGAUCCUGGCUCAGAUUGAACGCUGGCGGCAGGCCUAACACAUGCAAGUCGAGCGGAUGAUGGGAGCUUGCUCCCGGAUUCAGCGGCGGACGGGUGAGUAAUGCCUAGGAAUCUGCCUGGUAGUGGGGGACAACGUUUCGAAAGGAACGCUAAUACCGCAUACGUCCUACGGGAGAAAGCAGGGGACCUUCGGGCCUUGCGCUAUCAGAUGAGCCUAGGUCGGAUUAGCUAGUUGGUGGGGUAAAGGCCUACCAAGGCGACGAUCCGUAACUGGUCUGAGAGGAUGAUCAGUCACACUGGAACUGAGACACGGUCCAGACUCCUACGGGAGGCAGCAGUGGGGAAUAUUGGACAAUGGGCGAAAGCCUGAUCCAGCCAUGCCGCGUGUGUGAAGAAGGUCUUCGGAUUGUAAAGCACUUUAAGUUGGGAGGAAGGGCAGUAAGUUAAUACCUUGCUGUUUUGACGUUACCAACAGAAUAAGCACCGGCUAACUUCGUGCCAGCAGCCGCGGUAAUACGAAGGGUGNCAGCGUUUAUCGGAAUUACUGGGCGUAAAGCGCGCGUAGGUGGUUUGGUAAGAUGGAUGUGAAAUCCCCGGGC